UACGUAGGGUGCGAGCGUUAAUCGGAAUUACUGGGCGUAAAGCGUGCGCAGGCGGUUUCUGAAGUCCGUUGUGAAAGCCCCGGGCUUAACCUGGGAAUGGCAGUGGAAACUGGGAGACUUGAAUCUGGCAGAGGGGGGUGGAAUGCCACGGUGUAGCAGGUGAAAUGCGUAGAGAUGUGGCGGAACACCGAUGGCGAAGGCAGCCCCUGGG
rnacentral:rRNA from 1 species